rnacentral:lncRNA from 1 species
AAUGGAGAAGGAGACACCUGACCGAGAAACUGUUCUUCACUAAGUAGGAAGAUGGUGCCAGCCGCUACCCAUUCUUACUCACCUAUUUAGUAUGGGUUAAGAGUAAGGGAAACUCUAAUCCUGACCCCUUGGCUUCAUCAUUGUGAAGAUUCGCUUCAGAUUAAAGUGUUUAAUUUUUGCAAGAACACUAUAGAGCUGAUGUGGCCUCAGUGUAUCACAGCAAGGGAACAGACUGUUAAUUUAUUCCAUUAAAGGUUUUUCAAGACUUACUACUAUUGUAAGGAGUUUAAGAAUUAAUAAAUAACGGAGGAGGAGCCAAGAUGGCCGAAUAGGAACAGCUCGGGUCUACAGCUCCCAGCGUGAGCGACAUAGAAGACGGGUGAUUUCUGCAUUUCCAUCUGAGAUCCCCAAAGUAGAGAGACUGAAUUACAGCAAUGACCUCGACUUGCAUUUACUAGACAAGGACAUUGAGGCUCAGUAAGGUGAGAUGACUUGCUCCAGAUCACACAGGGUUGAAGCUGAAAUUUUAAUCUAGAGUCCAGUUCCAGAAUCUGUGCUUAUAAACUGUGCUGUGCUGUAUUUGCUUUAAGAAUAUAAGGGUCAUUUCCUGCUUGAAUAAUCAAGGAAGGCAUGAUGGAAAAGUUAGGGGCAUCAUAAAACCCAAAGACAAUUCUGAUCAUAUUUUUACUUCAACACUUCUACAGGAAAGAAAGCCUUCCCAUCACUAAUAGUGAGUUCUCUGGCAGCAAGCCUCAGUCAUUGCAGCAGGAAUACUGCUUAAAUAUUAUACUGGUAUGUGUGGGGUAAUUUGAAGUCUACCAUCCAUCACCAUCACCACCAAACCUAAUGUAUGAGUUGCCUAUUCCUUCCCGGGAUAGCACACUGCACUACUGAGGAUCACUGUUCUAUGGAAGUAGUUUUCAAACUUGAGCAUGCAUAAAAAGAAGAGCGAAGAGGCUUGUUAAAUACAGCUCUCUUUCAGCAGGUCUGGGGUACUUACUACUAAUGAGCAGUUUUUAGGAAGCAUCCUAGAUGAUUCCGUGUAUCCAGGUGGGCCACAGAAACAUUUGCAAAAACAUUACAUCGGAGCCAUUGUUGACUAUCCCUAAUCUGUAAGAAGCCAAUAGUCAUCGAGACCCAAUGGAGCAAUGCAGCAGAAUGGGGGAAGCCCAGGGGGCAGAGUGAGGGCAUCACCAGGGCAGUGAUUGCAUUUGCAACCCAUUCUUGCCAAAGAGAAAUUCGGAAGCACACUUCAAGGAACUAAGUUCAGUGAUAAUCACACUUGAUUGAUUUUCAGUACUGUCACAGUUUGAGAACUAUUUAUUGCCCUGAUUUGCUCUUUUCUCUGCCCUGUAUUAAAGAUCUUGCAUGAC